GGCCACUUCAAAAUGCCCACAAAAUUGGCUGUGUGCCAUGGGCAGCUCCAAAAAAACUCUUUGUCUUGCUGUGAUUUAGGUUGCCCUAUCAGAUCCAUCCCCCUGGAUUCUAAGAACCAGGCACAGCAGUUCUUUAAGAAAUGUGAUUGACUUUUCAAAACAUUGUGUUGGGCUAGGUACCCAUGUGGGAAAGCACAGAGAGCAGAGACCAGACCAUUCUUCUUGUUUCAGUUCCUUUACACAGUUCCACGGUGUUGCAAGAAAGGUGGCAGGAGCAAUUAUGUUCUUAAUUGUAGUGGAAGUCCUGAUUAGUCCCUGCAGCCCCAGGAUGGAGACGCAUGCUCAGGACAGAUGGAGUCUUCAGAGAAUUUAUAAGCCAACCUCUAGCAAGCCUGUGCUGAACAUGUGCACACUGAGAACUGCAACCCCUCUUAACUUUUCCCAGUUUGGACAGGUUUCCACUGAACUGGCAAAACACACAUUCCUUGCAGCAGAGUACCUCCUUUCCAACUUAAUUUCAAAUCUCUGCUCCAAGGAGUGGCAGUACUUAGAUUCUUAAUGAAACAAUUUAUAAGAAUGUUUAUAACACAAGCAAAACAGUGGACUUUUCCCUGAACCUUGGAAUAAGAGCAGAUUAGGGUUUGGGUUUUUUUGGGUUGUUUUGGAAUGUUUUAAAAAAUUCCACAGAUAGUUAUGAACAGACAUCACCUUCGUCUUCAGACAAAGCCCUUUGACCCCUGGAUGGCACAGGCAUACAUAUAAACUGUUCUUCAUUUCAAAUCUCUCUAAGUAGGCCAGGUAAAAUGUAUUAACACAUCUUUUUCCCAGGAUAUCCUAUUGUACAUCUGUAUGGUUCUUGUGGUGCAUUUCUGCUGUAAGAAAAGGCUGGAUGUGCUCUAAUAAAACUUAUUGGAUUGUCAGGCUCAAUGGCUUGAUGUCUAGUUGGC